AGUGAACGCUGGCGGCGUGCCUAAUACAUGCAAGUCGAACGGAGUGGCGCACGGGUGAGUAAUAUAUAGCUAAUCUGCCCCUUGCUGGAGGACAACAGUUAGAAAUGACUGCUAAUACUCCAUAGAAAGGGAUGAGACUAUAUCGUAUCAGCUAGUCGGUGGGGUACAGGCCUACCGAGGCUAUGACGCGUAACGGGUCUGAGAGGAUGAUCAGUCAAAUUGGAACGGAGACACGAUCCAAACUCAUGCGAGAGGCAGCGGUAGCGAAUAUUGCGCAAUGGGGGAGACCCUGAAGGAGCAACGGCGCGUGGAGGAUGACACUUGUCGGAGCGUAAACUCAUUUUGUUAGGGAAGCGGUACCUAAAGAAUAAGCACCGGCUAACUCCGUGCCAGCAGCCGCGGUAAUAC
rnacentral:rRNA from 1 species